CAGUGAGAGGAAUGAUGUAUUACUCCAGGGCUCUCAAGAUGCUGGCCUUUCUUGAUACUGCAUCUGAGUUGGACAUUAGGG
rfam:Daucus carota subsp. sativus cultivar DH1 chromosome 8, whole genome shotgun sequence.